rnacentral:tRNA from 1 species
GGCUGUGGUGCAGAGGUAGAGCGUCCGCUUGGCAUGCACAAGAUCCCAGGUUCAAUCCCUGCCAUAGCCA